rnacentral:rRNA from 1 species
GUACAAAGGUAGCAUAAUCRUUAGUUUUUUAAUUGAGAACUUGUAUGAAUGGUUGAAUGAGAAAUAAACUUUUUUAAUAGAAAAAUUGAAUUUUACAUUUUAAUUAAAAGGUUAAAAUGAUUUUAAAAGACGAGAAGACCCUAUAGAUUUUUAUAAUUUGUAUUUAAUAUUUUAAAAAAUUUAAUAAAUAUUUUUAUUUUUAUAAAUUAUUUUGUUGGGGUGAUAAUAAAAUUUAAUUAACUUUUAUUUUUUUUAUACAUUAAUAUAUGGAAAAUUGAUCCAUUACUAAUGAUUAAAAAAUUAAAUUACCUUAGGGAUAACAGCGUAAUUUUUUUUUUAAGUUCAUAUUAAUAAAAAAUUUUGCGACCUCGAUGUUGGAUUAAGAUUUAAUUUUAGGUGCAGAAGUUUAAAAUUUAAGUCUGUUCGACUUUUAAAUUCUU